rnacentral:rRNA from 1 species
AUUGAACGCUGGCGGCAUGCUUUACACAUGCAAGUCGAACGGCAGCGCGGGGCAACCUGGCGGCGAGUGGCGAACGGGUGAGUAAUAUAUCGGAACGUACCCAGAAGUGGGGGAUAACGUAGCGAAAGUUACGCUAAUACCGCAUACGAUCUACGGAUGAAAGUGGGGGACCUUCGGGCCUCAUGCUUUUGGAGCGGCCGAUAUCUGAUUAGCUAGUUGGUGAGGUAAAGGCUCACCAAGGCGACGAUCUGUAACUGGUCUGAGAGGAUGAUCAGUCACACUGGAACUGAGACACGGUCCAGACUCCUACGGGAGGCAGCAGUGGGGAAUUUUGGACAAUGGGGGGCAACCCUGAUCCAGCAAUGCCGCGUGAGUGAAGAAGGCCCUCGGGUUGUAAAGCUCUUUGUCAGGGAAGAAAAUGACGGUACCUGGAAAAGAAGCCUCGGCUAACUCCGUGCCAGCAGCCGCGGUAAU